ACUCAAAAAACGGAUCUAAGUCCCACUUGAAGCGCUUAAUUAGUUUACCAAAACAAUCAUUUAGACUUCAAUGUAAUUCAAAUAAGGUACAGCCUAUUUGAAACAGGAAACAACCUAAACUGAUGGAUAAAACAGCUUUAUUAACAACUUAGUAGGCCUAAAAGCAGCCAUCUAUUAAAUAGCGUCAAAGCUUAAUUGUUUUAUUGCUUAAUUUCACAAACAUUAUUUUAAUCCUCCAUCCCCAUUGAGUAAUUCUAUAACAUUAUAGAAAAUUUUAUGUUAAAACUAGUAACAAGAAGAAGACCUUCUCUUAAAUGUAAGUGUUGAUCAGAAAGGACAAACCACUGAUAUUUAUCAUCAUUGAACCAAAAAUAGUAACUCAUCAAGAAAACACUAUUUUUAUUUAUGUUAACCUAACACAAGAACAUUAUAAGAAAGAUUUAAAGAAAAAGAAGGAACUCGGCAAAUAUUAACCUCGCCUGUUUACCAAAAACAUCGCCUCUUGAGCUUUAUAAGAGGUCCAGCCUGCCCAGUGACUCUGUUCAACGGCCGCGGUAUCCUAACCGUGCGAAGGUAGCGUAAUCACUUGUUCUUUAAAUGUGGACUAGUAUGAAUGGCACUACGAGGGUUACACUGUCUCCUUUCUCUAAUCAGUGAAACUAAUUUUCCCGUGAAGAAGCGGGAAUACACCUAUAAGACGAGAAGACCCUAUGGAGCUUUAAACAAUCAGCAAUUACUUUUUAAAUUAAAAAUUUCAGAAUAUUCAUUUUUUAAGUAGCGUGACUGCAAGUUUUCGGUUGGGGUGACCAUGGAGAAUAACACAACCUCCACAUUGAACGAAUUUCAUUCUAAGCUAAAAAUUACUUAUUAAAGCAUCAACACACUGACAUCUAUUGACCCAAUAUAUUUGAUCAACGAACCAAGUUACCCUAGGGAUAACAGCGCAAUCCACUUUAAGAGCCCUUAUCGACAAGUGGGUUUACGACCUCGAUGUUGGAUCAGGGUAUCCCAGUGGCGCAGCCGCUACUAAAGGUUCGUUUGUUCAACGAUUAAAACCCU
rnacentral:rRNA from 1 species